AAUGCUUGCCACACUCAUCAGGUGAAUUUAAAAAUUUUAAAAAAUUUAAAUUUUAAAUUCACCUGAUGAGUGUGGCAAGCAUU
rnacentral:miRNA from 1 species